rnacentral:rRNA from 1 species
AGUACGUGAAACUGCUUAGAGGUUAAGCCCGAUGAACCUGAAUAUCCAUUAUGGAAAAUUCAAUAUUAAGAUUAUAAUAUAAAUCAUAUUAUAAAAAUGGUAUGCAAUUUUUCCAUAUAAGGACAUUGUAAUCUGUUAAUGUUAUAAAUAUUUAUCAAAAGAUCUUUUACUUAAGUUUAUUUAAAUUGUUUAUCUUCGGAUAUUCAACAUAAAAUAAAUGUAUUAGAUUGGAUAAAUCAUUGACAGAUAUAAUUAUAUAAUGUGCUCAAAUUCUUCGGAAUUUUUUACAAUAAUAAGUAGAUCUAUUGAUUUAUAUAUUUAUUGAAUGCGCUAUUAUGAUUAACAAUGCGAUAGAUUCAGGAUACCUUCGGGACCCGUCUUGAAACACGGACCAAGGAGUCUAACAUAUGUGCAAGUCAUUGGGUAUUUUUAAUAAAACCCAAUGGCAUAAUUAACUUAACUGUUAUUUAUAAUGGGAUUAAUUUAUAUUUUGUUAUGAUUUAUUUAUUCAAUCCCGGGGCGUUCUAUACAGUUAUGCAUAAUGAUAUUUAUAUUAUUUAUGCCUCUAACUAGAGCGUACCUUGAGC